rnacentral:rRNA from 1 species
UAAUUAAGCGGAGGAAAAGAAACUAACUAGGAUUCCCUCAGUAACGGCGAGUGAAGCGGGAAGAGCUCAGGAUGUGAAUCUGCGCUAUUAAAGCGCCGAAUUGUGGUCUGAAGACUUUGGUGUUAUCUGCCGGGCCAAGUUCCUUGGAAAAGGACAGCUGAGAGGGUGAGACUCCCGUCCGCCUGGUAGAGUGAGCCAUUUGUCAACGAGUAGAGUUGUUUGGGAUUGCAGCUCUAAUUUGGUGGUAAAUUCCAUCUAAAGCUAAAUAUUGGUGGG